rnacentral:lncRNA from 1 species
ACCCUCUCAGUAAAUCCAGAGAACAUAUUUCUUUCAUGUUUUGAGGUUCUUGAAGUUUGGGUCGACUCAUGCUUACCUUGGGUCGACCCAACUCACUGUUCAUCUGUGCCAAUUUUGCAGAAGUGUGCCAAAUGACUUCUUGAUGUGCCAGGGUCGACCCAAUCAUCCUUUGGGUCGACUCAAUCUACACUUUGCUGCAUCUCAAGGUUAGAUUCAUUCAAAUGAACAAAGCCAUGUAUCUAUUAUCAAUUCAUACAAAUAUACUGAGAGUAAUGAACUUAUAAAUGAAGUAUCAAUUUAACUUAUAAUAUACUCUAGAUAAUUGCUUGUUAAUCAUCAAAAUAACACUAUCAUCCUCA